rnacentral:rRNA from 1 species
UACGGGGGGGGCAAGCGUUGUUCGGAAUUACUGGGCGUAAAGGGCGCGUAGGCGGCCAACUAAGUCGGAUGUGAAAUCCCCAGGCUCAACUUGGGAACUGCAUCCGAUACUGGUCGGCUUGAAUCCGGGAGAGGGAUGCAGAAUUCCAGGUGUAGCGGUGAAAUGCGUAGAUAUCCGGAGGAACACCGGUGGCGAAGGCGGCUUCCUGGACCGACACUGACGCUGAGGCGCGAAAGCUAGGGGAGCAAACGGG